AGUCGAGGGGUAUUAGUUUUCGGACUAAGAGACCGGCGCACGGGUGCGUAACGCGUAUGCAAUCUACCUUUUACAGAGGGAUAGCCCAGAGAAAUUUGGAUUAAUACCUCAUAGUAUAAUGACUCGGCAUCGAGAUAUUAUUAAAGUCACAACGGUAAAAGAUGAGCAUGCGUCCCAUUAGCUAGUUGGUAAGGUAACGGCUUACCAAGGCUACGAUGGGUAGGGGUCCUGAGAGGGAGAUCCCCCACACUGGUACUGAGACACGGACCAGACUCCUACGGGAGGCAGCAGUGAGGAAUAUUGGACAAUGGGCGCAAGCCUGAUCCAGCCAUGCCGCGUGCAGGAUGACGGUCCUAUGGAUUGUAAACUGCUUUUAUACGAGAAGAAACACUGCUUCGUGAAGCAGCUUGACGGUAUCGUAAGAAUAAGGAUCGGCUAACUCCGUGCCAGCAGCCGCGGUAAUACGGAGGAUCCAAGCGUUAUCCGGAAUCAUUGGGUUUAAAGGGUCCGUAGGCGGUUUAAUAAGUCAGUGGUGAAAGCCCAUCGCUCAACGGUGGAAACGGCAUUGAUA
rnacentral:rRNA from 1 species